UUGCUUCUGCCGCACAUUUACUAAAAUUGGAAUGACACUCAGAAGAUUAGUAUAGCUGCUGUGCAAGGGUGACCUGCAUCUUCUUGAAGCAUUCUAUAUUUUU